GAGACUGAGUUACAGAGAACCCAUGAGUUGUGGGUGUGUGGCUGCGUUUGUGGCCGUGCGUGUGGCUCUGUGCAUGUGAUUGUGAGUUAUGGGUGUGAUUGCGUUUGUGGCAGUAGGCUUGUGACUAUGUUUGUGAGUUUUCUGGUUUCUUCUUCAUUUCUGUUGUUUGAUUGGAAAUCUGGGUUGGGAAUUAUUUGAGUUUGAGAUUUGGAU
rnacentral:misc_RNA from 1 species